rnacentral:ncRNA from 1 species
CCAAAAGGGGAGCUGGCGGACGCCGGCUGAGAGGGGCCCAUCCCGGCCCGACCCUUGACCUGAUCUGGGUAAUGCCAGCGUAGGGAACC